UGGCUAAGCGGUAAAGCUCCUGACUUCCGAACCGGGGUCCCAGGUUCGAAUCCUGG
rnacentral:tRNA from 1 species